AUUGAACGCUGGCGGCAGGCCUAACACAUGCAAGUCGAGCGGAUGAAGGGAGCUUGCUCCUGGAUUCAGCGGCGGACGGGUGAGUAAUGCCUAGGAAUCUGCCUGGUAGUGGGGGAUAACGUCCGGAAACGGGCGCUAAUACCGCAUACGUCCUGAGGGAGAAAGUGGGGGAUCUUCGGACCUCACGCUAUCAGAUGAGCCUAGGUCGGAUUAGCUAGUUGGUGGGGUAAGGGCCUACCAAGGCGACGAUCCGUAACUGGUCUGAGAGGAUGAUCGGCCACACAGAAUCUAAGACACGGUCAGGACUCCGACGGGGGCCAGAGUCGGGGAAGAUGGAGCAGUGGGGAAAAUCCUAUACCAGCCAGGCGGCUGGUGUAAAGAAGGCCUCGGAUUGUAAAGCACUUUAAGUUGGGAGGAAGGGCAGUAAGUUAAUACCUUGCUGUUUUGACGUUACCAACAGAAUAAGCACCGGCUAACUUCGUG
rnacentral:rRNA from 1 species